GACAGAGGGUGCUAGCGUUGUUCGGAAUUACUGGGCGUAAAGGGCGCGUAGGCGGCCAUGUAAGUCGGGUGUGAAAUCCCAAGGCUCAACCUCGGAAUUGCAUUCAAUACUGCUUCGCUCGAGUACUGGAGAGGAGGCUGGAAUUUACGGUGUAGCAGUGAAUGCGUAGAUAUCGUAAGGAAGGCCGGUGGCGAAAGCGAGCCUCUGGACAGUUACUGACGCUGAUGCACGAAGGCCAGGGGAGCAAACGGG
rnacentral:rRNA from 1 species